AGAGAUCCAAGUCUCUCCUCGUCCAGGCGUCCUCCACCUCGGGCGAGCAGCAGGCGGCCAGAUCCAAUGCUGGUAGAAUGGCGGCUGCGCUGGCGGCGGCGGCGAUCAUCGGCAGCGCUCCAAUCGUGGCGGCGCCGCCCGAGGCAGCAGCGGAUGUAGCCGGCCUCACCAAGUGCAAGGAUUCCGCGGCCUUUGCUAAGCGCGAGAAGAAGGAGAUCAAGAAGCUCCAGUCGCGGCUCAAGCUCUACGCCGACGACAGCGCGCCGGCGCUGGCGAUCAAUGCCACGAUCGAGAAGACCAAGCGGCGAUUCAAGUUCUAUGGCGAUGCUGGGCUCUUGUGUGGCGCGGAUGGAUUGCCCCAUCUCAUCGUCGAUGGCGAUCAGCAGCACCUGGGCGAGUUCGUCUAUCCGGGGCUCAUCUUCCUCUACAUCGCGGGAUGGAUUGGAUGGGUUGGGCGGAGCUACUUGAUCGCUGUCAGCACUGAGGCCAAGCCCACGCAAAAGGAGAUCAUCAUCGAUGUGCCGCUGGCGACGAGCUUGAUAUGGAAGGGAUUUGUGUGGCCGCUGGCUGCCGUGAGCGAAUUCAGGAAUGGGAAGCUAGUGGUGGACGCUGCCAACAUCACCGUCUCUCCCAGGUAGACGAGGAUCACAGACAGCUGCGCGAAAGAAGAAGAUCCAAGAACACCGUGUAAUUUGUGUAAUGAGAGAUGGUUUCUAAAAUCUCAGCUAUCGCGUUGAUCGAUUCGUGCUCGAUUCAUUCGCGCUCGAUUGGAUCACAGGAAAUAUUUCGCAAAGAUUCUAUUUUCCCCCAAUUUCAUAUUUUUAGGGUUCUAGAGGAAAUCUUUAGGGCUCUAGGGGAAGCUAUGGCGCGCGCGCUCGAUGUUUGCCCUGCCAGAUGCGUGGCGUCAGGUAUUCUCGAUUAUCUCGCUUCCAGCAGCUCAUUCCUGUCCAGCAGCUGGCGCGGUGCCAACGAACUCUAGCAAGCCACGCCUGGCGCUCGUCCGUGGAGUUCCACACACUUUCUCCAGCUGCAUUACGAUGGAGAAGCCUGAGGCGGCGAUCGAUGUGGAGCUCGCGAGAAAGCAGCAUUCGGAUUACGUGAACAUCCUGAGAGGUUCUCUUGUCCCUCGUUUUCUUUCUCGAUCGAGCUUCCAUUUUCUCACAUUUCGUGUUUUCCAGUCCAGAGCUCGUCGAUCACGUCGUGGAGCUCUCACCGAUGGACGAGUUCCCCGACUGCCCUUUCAUCGAGGACACCGCGGUCGUGAUUGGAUCCAAAGCUCUCAUCACUCGUCCUGUGAGUUAUCUAUCGUAUCUAUCACAGAUAGUCAGUGAACUCACGAUAACAGGGAGCAAGUUUGAGGCGUGGAGAAGUCGAAGCAGUGGAGGCAGAGCUUAGAAAUCUUGGAUUCGAGAUUCACAACGUCGAGCCUCCCGGUACCAUUGAUGGUGGCGAUGUUCUCUACGUCCAAAACACCCUCUUUGUUGGAAAGAGCAUGUAAGGCACCUCUCUAUAGGUGAACUCAGUACUCACUCUUUUACAUCUCCUUGAUUAGGAGGACAAACUCGAGAGGAAUCGAGGCACUGGCACGGGCCUUCUCUCCAAUACCUGUUGUUCCAAUCGACGUUGCUGAAACCUUGCACUUAAAAUCAGGUACUGGUAUUCUUUCUGUUUUCUAAAGUCUCUUGCUGCUUUGCUGGCUUGCAGUCUUGUCUCCGCUUGGCCGGAACUCUUUUCUGGCCGAGGAGACCUUCCACGCCAAACAGAUGCUCGAGCUGAUCCGAAAGGCUUCCAUGGAUUCGUGCGACUGCGUCUUUACUCCACACCAAGGCGCGGCAAAUCUCCUUUGGGUGGGAAACACGCUCGUCUAUCCGUCUGCUUAUCCUUGCGGAAGCGAUCUGGCCGAGUUGUACGCAAACUCUGCCGAGCGCGUCAUUCCAGCCAACAUUUCAGAGUUCCACAAAGGUGAUGGAGGUUUGACAUGCCUCUCCAUUGUCAUUGACUGAUCUGAAACUUCUUUUAAAACUCAUUGGUUACAAGUCAAGAGGAUCGCAAAGUUUUCGGGUGGGCUUUGAGACAAACUGGGACUCCCAAUAGUGAGUUGUAGAUGGUCAGCAUUCUCUUCCGCAGAUUCAAAGAGGUUGAUUCUACCUUCUUCGAGGAGAUCCACAUUCCCCCGCUUUUGGGCGACCACACUCCCUGGAACGCAAUCACAUAAGCUGGAUGGAAAAGAGCUUUCUCCCACCUGGAAUGCUUCUGCCACAGAGGCAGUUUGCUUCUUAGAAAACUCGUACCUUAACCUGUGAAUCAAGCUUGCAAUCUCAUGAUUCCUUUUGCAAGAGCAGAGUUCAUAGCUUUGUUUUAUGGUGUUGAUCAGAUCAGGUCAUGCAUGCAGGUUAGUAGAAAGAAAUUUCACAUGAAAAGAGUGACAAACGUUAAAUGAGCCACCAAGAGGAAAGAAAUUUUAUCACCUACAACUCCAUAACUUGACAAGAUCCACAUUGGAGGCUGCCUUUGGAUUUGAAACAAUCACUUCAGCUCCGUAGGAAAAAACUACCAAUUAAAAUGUAGACAGAAAUGUUAUACUUUCUUCAUAACAUUUCUUCUCUGCCUUCCAGAUGGCAUGCUUGAGAAGUGACUCACCACAUUGGGGAGGAGUAAAAUGAAGAAAUAUUUGUAGUUUUACUUUUCUAUUACCUCCACAGACAAAUAGCGUGCUUUUCCAAUCUAAUUAGACCAUAAAUCACAUGAAUAUUCUAAGAGUAUUCAAUGUUCUAAGGGCUGACUUGAGUGGAUGAGGAAUAUACAAUGAUGACCACCAAGGCAAGUAUGGGUAAUUAUAAGUUUUUAGUGAUGCCAAUUUGGUUUGACAAAUAUUUUUAUAAAUUUUAGAAGUUGAUGAAUCAAGUUUUAUAACUUUACUUAGAGAAGUUUGCAAUUGAUUAUUUUGAUGAUAUUUUAGUAGCUUUAUGGAGGAAUAUGAGAUGUGAGUUUUGCAACUUUUGACAGACAAUAAGUUCUAUUUGAAGUUAAUUUAUUAAAUAUCUAAAACAUUUUAUUUAAUUAUAUAGUGUGAGAUCAUAAUUGACUGAUUUAUGCUUUCAAUAAUGUAUAAUCUUUGUAAUUUCUUUGGUAUGGCUAAAUUUUUUUAACAGUUUAUAAAAGACUUCCUAGAGAUAGCUAUUCUCUUGAAUGAUUUUCUCUAAAGCACAUUAAAGUAUAUUACUAUUCAUGGUUGGGAUGAGAAGUGUUAAAUGUUUUCUCAACAAUUGAAAUAAUGUUGCUUUAGUGUUGAGGAUUUUUUUUAUCCUAAGAAGUGUUUUAUGGUUUAGAUAAAUAUAAAUGACAUGUUAUAUAUUGGAUCCAUUUUGCUUCAAGUUGGGCAUCCUUUGGCAUAUAUAAGUGACAAUUUUAACAUUAUUUAUAUAAGACAUGAUUGUUACUGUGAAGGAAUAAUAACAUAGAUCAAACUUUCAUAUAAAUUCAAACUAUCAAUCUCUCCAAUAUUUUAGUGGUCAAAAGGCCACUUUUCUUAUUAGUAAAAGUUCCUGCAAAAACUAUCUAUUAAGAUUCGGUAUAAAUAUGAAGGUGGUAAUAUGAUGGCUAAUGGAUUGUCUAAAAUAGUGAAUUUUAUCUCAUUUGUGAAGUUAUAUAGUGUUUUCUUGGAUGAGCUUAAAGAGUUUCUUGACUUUAACUCCUUUAUCACCAAUAUUUACUUAAAGGUUUUUUCAAAAGACACUUUUACACAUUUAAAGGGUGGCAAGUUUAUAUAUUUAAAAUAUGACAAAGAAUCCUAAUGAAGAAAGAACAUAUAAUGGUUUUUUGUAUUGACAAACUCAUCAAAUGGAUCUUGGUUGCGGAUGGUUAAAUACCAUGACUUAUAUCUUAUAAAGUUCAUAGAUAAAUUAGUAGUGCAAUAGAAGGUCAUGAGCAAGUCUAACUAGCAUUAGAGGCUUUGUUAAGUUGUGGAAAACAAGAGUAAAAAUCAUCUGCAUAUAGGAGGAGGUAUAAGUAGAAAGAUCUUCAUUGUGAAGAAGUGUUUCUAAUGCAUCAAUGUACAAUCCAAACAACAUGGGGGAUAAGGACACCCUUGCUUAGACACCUAUUGUGCAUUCCAUUUGUGACUUUUUGGAUAUUCUACAAAAAUUGUUACAUAGAGCUAUUGAAUAGCAUGUACAAGCUCUAGUGUAGUCAAGCUCUAGUGUAGUAUUUAACUCCUAAAGUCAUUGAAAUAAUUCCUUUUGUGGGACUAUGUCAAAUGCUUUGCAAAAGUCCAUAAAGCAACAAAACAAUUGAUAUAUCAUUUGUAUACACAAUUUAUAGCGUAGAUGAUCUACAGUAGCUCAUUUGGAGUUAGUCUCACUCUAAGAGACUCGAUGACCCUCUAAAAUGGUUGUAAAUAACUUGGAGAAGAUAGAGUUCACCGUAAUAGUUUAGUAAUUUUUUGGGAUCAUGGGAUCUCCAAAUUUGUAGACAGGAACCACACAAUUCAUUGUCUAUGCCCGAGGAAAACCUUCAUUUAUUACUGGUUCAAAGAUUGGGUGGAAUAUAUAUGCAAGGAACUCCUUGUCAUAUACUUGGAGUAAUUCAUCUAUGAGACCCUAGGCAUUUAAGGCUUUUCAUUUGUGAAGGCGAUCAAUAGUAGCAAGACUGUCAUCUUCAUUGAAUUGGAUUGGGGCUUGUGAUUGGGAAGUGAUUAAGUCUCUUAUUUGCUGAGUGUAGAGCUGUCUAAGGUAGUUCACCCAAAUCUUGGUGUUGUUAAGAAGGAUGGGGUUUUAUAGGCUUUUUGAAAAUCUUGAAAGCUUUAUGAGGUGCCAUUCAAAGUUGCUAUACAUUUUCUAAAUUCUUCUAGAUACAGGAAUAAUGGGAUUUAUAGAAUUCCAAGUCCAAGGAGAUUCGAGUUCUUGGAUCUCUAGUAAAAUAGGAAGAGCAUAGAUUUGUGGUUUGACCACGAAUUUUUGGCUUGACUGUGCAAUCUAGUCUCACUAGCUCGAAAUCCAACUUGGGGCUCGUAAACUUGUUAACUACUUUGAUGUGUAUUGUUGCUAGAUCCAACUCUAUGAACACCUUGUACAUGGGAUAAACCUGGCAACAACACAAAGUUAAGUGCAAACUUUUAAGAUGUAAGUUGGACUCUGAAAUCCCAAGGAAGGAUAUCUUCUUCCUCUUUCAAUUCAAGUGGAGGAGUUAUGCUAGUAUUGACCUCAAAUCCACUAGCUCCAUCUUCAAUAAUAUUCAAAGUUGUUAGCAGUAUUUUCCAGCUUUCCCGCCUUUCAAUUGAUAUGCACUUGUUUCUAUAUAGGCUCGUGAGUGAGCUUCCAUCCCAUUACAAUGGCAACAUCUUUUUCAAGCUACCACAUUUUAUCAACAAUAUUAGUUCCAAACAAAAGAGGAGUAGGAUAUCUGUAACUACUGUAAGAUCAAGAUUACACACUUCUAGCAUUUCAAAGGCACAAUAUCUAUAGUUCACUAUAGCAGGUAUUUGGAUUGUGUGGAUGAAGUAUACAAUUGAGAUUAUUGUAGAAAUUCCAUAUUUUUUAAGGGUUUGCAACAAUCUUUCUACCCAUGAUACCAUUGCUGUUAUAUUCAAGUGCCGAUUAUGCAAAAAUGCUCCUAUAUGUUAUGCCAUCUACAAGGCCAGAAUAUAUUACUUUUUUCCUCGGGAUGGAGUGGCUAAAAAAGCUAUAAUGCAUAUUAGCAUAUAUGUAUAUCCAAUGCAAAAAGGGAUAUAAAGGAGUUCUUUCAACCAUUUUAAAGAUGUUGUGCAGAAAGAGGCUGUGAAAAACUCAUCUACAAACCCCAAAGUAUGUUCAGAAGAUCAUCCUUAAGGAUUUUAUCGCAAGCACCUUACUCAAUCUGUAUUGGCAAAAGACUUAAUUAAACAAGGCUAGCUUGCAGGACUUACUAUGACAUGUAUAACUUGCUACUAACUUAAGGAGAUAUGUCUGUUGUAUUUUAUAUGUUACAAUAAUAUCUUUUGUUCAUAUUAUAUUGUUUAAGAUAAAAUCUUGGAUGUGUGAAUCUUGAGAAGGGAAGUUGUGAUAAAAAUUUGACUUCAUUCUUGAACUAAAACGAACUUGUCUAUAUGAGUUCAUCCAUAAAAGUUGUUUCUAGACCAAGUUGUCAAUAAGUAAAAGCACCCCAUCGUUUCAAGAUGUCUACAAUGAACCCUACCUUUAGUGUAGAUCUUGUCUCUUGAAUAGAUUGUAAGCGACUAAAUUUUCCAUUUUACUUUAGUCACUUAACCACACCUUUAACCAUUUAGAGGAUUUUUACUUAUAACAUUCAUAAGUCCUAUUCCAGACUUAAGGCUUGCUACCUUUGAGAAUGGCAUCUAUGCCACUCAACCUUUGCACUUGGUCCAAGUGCUCUACAUGUCUGAUCCCAUGACCAACACCCAACGGUACCACCGACAUAUCAGCUUGUUACACUAAGGCCAUGUCUAUUCAUCUUUGCCACACUAGUGGUCCAACACCACUUGCAUCACAGUCCCAUCUCUCAAAAACUGAGUUGGCUGUCCAUGAGUGAUCAUCUCAAAUCCACUCCUUAGCAUCCUUAGAAUGCUUGCAAACAUGAAAAACAACCUUCCCCAAUAUCCCUUUUUCAGUCCCCACCAAGUCCCUUUCUUUCCAUGGUCGUAUUUGCCAACACUACCACUGGGUCAAGGCCCACUAGCUCGACCACUAAGUUUUAUUAUCCUUUGGGACUUCCUCACUAUGUGAUCAUAUCUUUGAUCACUACAUUAGAGGAUUGCCCCUUUUCCUUUCCAUAAUUUAGGACUUUUCGUGGCCCUAUGCAAGCCUCAUGGGUACUCUCCCCACCUUCCACCUUUGGGUGCUCUAGCCAUGGGGCUAGAGUGAGGUUUUGUUGAGCCACACUAAGUAUCCAAGUAGGUAGUGCCACUUAUGUUUGGACUGGGAGCAUCGACCAUUCAAUCUCCCAGAGGAAUUAGAGUUGAUUUUUAAACACUUCACCAAACCACCCUAUUUGUCUGUCUGUAUUCACUCUAGCUUUAGACUCCUCAGUGGAUAUAUUAUCAUCUAGCACGUGAGCAUAGCCUUUCUGGGUCACACUAGCCUUUCUUGGCCAAACUAGCUCCACUGGGCAACCCCCACACUCUCUCUGCUAUACUUUUGGAUAUUCAUCUCAGACUCCAUCUCAGGUCCAUCUCAAACUCCAUCUCAGGUCCAUCUCAAAUUCCAUCUCGGAUUCUAUCUCGAACUCCAUCUCAAACUCCAUCUCAAACUCCAUUUCAGGGGUACAUCUCAGAUCCAUCUCGGACUCCAUCUCAGACUCCAUCUCAAGUCCAUCUUGGACUCCACUUUGGAUUCCAUCUCAGGUCCAUCUCAAACUCCAUCUUGGACUCCAUGUCAGUCCAUCUUGGGUCCAUCUUGAACUCCAUCUUGGACUCCAUCUUGGGUCUAUCUCAGACUCCAUCUCAGGUCCAUCUCAGACUCCAUCUUAGACUCCAUAUCAGGUCCAUCUCAGACUCCUCCACAUAUCAUGUGUUGGUCCUUUUGUGUCCCUUUUCUAGAGACUCACUGAUUACUUGCUUCGUGCUCGUUCUUUGAGCAUUUUGUAUUUUGGAAGUUUCUCUACAAUAUUGUGCUAAAGUGAAUUGAUAAGCUUAUGAACUUUUGUGGUUUCAUGGCAAGUGGGUCUAAUGCAAACUGGAAUGGUGUUUGAGUACUUUUUAGGAAUGGUCAACCCUUAAAAGGUCAUGAAAGGACUUAUAAGUUCCACUAGACUUAAACCUAAACCAAUAUUACCACCUUAUCAAACUAGAGUUUUAAGCAGUGUUUAAGGAAUUCUAUAAACAAUGACAAGUUGCAUCCUUUGAAAAGGAACAUGAGGCAAAGGCAAAUAAAAUCUAGAUGUGGUGGCACGAAGAUGGUUAUGUAAACACAAGUUGUUUACCUUAACUUGAGUCAUGGUUAGAUGGUGGGAAAUUAGGAUGUUCUAGUGGGAACAUCACUUUUCAGAUUAAUUUCUCUUUCUUCUUUUCUUUUUAUUGCCUUUUAAUAUCACCUUUUUCAUUAUGACCAACCACUUAAGGACCUUGUAUACAUUCCAACUGUGAAUCUCUAUGAGAGUAAACACUGGAGUUGAUGUUCCUCUGAGGUAAAGAAAGGGAAGAUGAGUUUAUAUAAAACAUGUCUAUUAGAUUUAAUAUGUGCUAUAAAGUAGUCUUCAAAAACAUUGCCAUUUGAGGAAGGAAGAUAUGUGGGAAUAGAGCCUUCCAUUAAGAUGUUAUAUGAUCAAAUGAAGAGGAAAAUGACUUCACCAAGCUGAAUAGUAACAACUACAAUUGAGGAAAUGAUCUAUAGCAUAUUUAUGGAGUACUCUCCCCGGGCUUCUAUUAGUGAUAUGAAAACUAUCUACUCAAAGCAUUGUUGUUCCUUUGCUGGUGAAAAUGUUGGCAUAGCAUUUGGAGCAAAAAGCUCUCACAAACAUAAUGUUGAGUACCAUUAUACUUUAAAACACCACCUCCAAAUUAAGCCACCUCAAAUGGCUAAUGAAGAGAGUGCAUUACAAUAGGUUGAAAUUAUUUGCCAUAAUAUGAAGCCAAGGCAAUAAGCACCAAAAAUAUCAAUAUAUAAAGUGUGUGGGGAUGCUUCUAAGGGGCAAGUGUUAAGUUUGAAUUCGUAAUGACAAAUUUACUUCUCUUCUAACCCCAUAUUUCCAUAGGGAACAAAAGCAAGUAGCGUUUUUGAGAUGGUGCUGGCUGUAUUAUUGCAACACCAAUGCUAACUAUAUGAAGCAACUUGAAGACACUAUAAUAAUGAAAUCUAAUAUAGUACAUAAAGAAUGGCUAAUUGUUAAUAGGGUUAUGCUCAUCUUGAAUGAAAUUGAAAGCCUUGAGAAAUCUGAUUUCAAUCUUUAGAGGAGGAGAAUUAAAGACAUAAUUGACAGAAUUGGCACUAUUCCCACAUAGAUGCAUAAGAGGCUUACAAGAAAAGGUAAAGCAGUUAAAUUUAUUAGUACCAUCUCCAAGAAAAAAUAGAGUAAAAUAAGCUUGCUUGAGUGUGAGAUUCUCUUCACAAAGUACAUCAUUGUGCAUGCAAAAGAAUAUAUAGUCAAAAUAAAGGGUGGAGAGUACACAAUUGCUAUUCAAAACUUUCCUUCUUGCAUAUGCCUAAAUUUUUCAAAGUGCAAAGAAUAUAAGAAGGCAUAUGCUCCAUGCAAGCAUAUGUACUACAUCUUUAUCAACACCUUACGCCAAGAUCCUAAAAUGGACAUUCAUAUACACCAAAAAAGACUUACUAUUGCUAAAUUACAGAAGAUUUUUUGAGCUAACUAGAUUGGCCAAGACUAUUAAUAUUUAUUCUCUAUCGAUAAUAUAAACUUGGUAUACUUUAUAUAACUAAUAAAAAAUAUAUUUUUCAUUACCUACGAUUAUUCUUUUGUAGUACUACCCAUAAUACUCAUGUGUCUCCAUUUUUUUUUUUACCAUCUCAAAAACUAUUUUAUGGUAGUCUUUCAGAGGUGUGAUAUUGUAAUGUGAUGUUGUAGCGCACAUGAUUUUCACUCUUAUCUUAUAAUGAUUUACCAAAAAAUAACCAUAAAGCAAAACUUAAACCCUCCACAUACCAUGUACCAUAUGCCAUGUGUCCAAAGGUAAACCGAGUUUCAAAAUGGGCCAUUGAAUAAAGGGAUAGAGCUAAACUCUUCAACAUAAAGCCUAAGAGUGAAGGAAGUUAAGCACAGAAUAACUCCAAAACGUUCAAUCCAAAGAAUGAAAGGAUAAAAGCAUAGAGUAGUUUGGAACAGUUUUAGAGCAUCUAACAUCCCAAUGUCAGGACCAACAUGCAAAAUGGAGCUAAAUAGAGUUUAGCACAAUUUUAACAUAUUAGUAGCCUAACGCAAAUAUAUAAGUACUCCACCAGUUAGUAUGGUAUAUAAGUUAAAAUUAUACCCAAGUUGGAUAUAAAAUAAAAACAAACACACAAGUGAGAACUAAAUUAUACCUUAAAUUAGUUGGCUAUGCCCAACCUACCCACUAUCCCUACUAUACAUUGAAACUCCUGACAACUUCCCCUAAAGGAAUGCAAGCUUUGGGCUUUCACCCCAAUCCUAGGAGUUAGUCUCUAGAACAAUUAUGAAAACUUACUAAAUAUGGAAUAAUGCUAGAUUGCAAAAUUGGAUAUGGGAAUAAUAUUGUUGUGUUCAAAAUAAUCUCACCAUUCCGUAGAUAUACCCAAUUAGUAAAUUUAAACACUUUCCAUAAAUAGCCAAUGGGACCAAAUAGAACUAAUAUAGGUAUUUAAUAGAUAUGGUAAAUUAUCAUUUAGCAUAUAAAGGAUUAGUCUCAAUAUGUGAAGGUUUUUGUGAAGCCAAUGCAAGACAAACAAAAAA
rnacentral:lncRNA from 1 species